GCCGGGCGUGGUGGCGGGUGCCUGUAAUCCCAGCUACUAGGGAAGCUGAGGUAGGAGAAUUGCUUGAACCCAGGAGAUGGAGGUUGCAGUGAGCUGAGAUCAUGCCACUGCACUCCAGCCUGGGCAACAGAGCAAGAUUCUAUCUCAA
rnacentral:SRP_RNA from 1 species